UACGUAGGGUGCAAGCGUUUAAUCGGAAUUACUGGGCGUAAAGCGUGCGCAGGCGGUUGUGCAAGACAGAUGUGAAAUCCCCGGGCUUAACCUGGGAAUUGCAUUUGUGACUGCACGGCUAGAGUGUGUCAGAGGGGGGGUAGAAUUCCACGUGUAGCAGUGAAAUGCGUAGAUAUGUGGAGGAAUACCGAUGGCGAAGGCAGCCCCCCUGGGAUAACACUGACGCUCAUGCACGAAAAGCGUGGGGGAG
rnacentral:rRNA from 1 species